AGAUAGAGGUGCGGGCUUCAUCAGUAUCACAUCGCUUUAGACCGGAACAGGUGAUGUGAGAAAGGGGAGACUGCCGAAGAAGUCGGAUGCAUCCGGGGCAGAAGAUUUCUGGGGCGCAGCAGAAUAUGCUGCGGACUGUCACAUCAGUGGAGCGCUAUCAGA
rnacentral:ncRNA from 1 species